UACGUAGGGGGCAAGCGUUAAUCGGAAUUACUGGGCGUGAAGCGUGCGCAGGCGGUGAUGUAAGACAGAUGUGAAAUCCCCGGGCUCAACCUGGGAACUGCAUUUGUGACUGCAUCGCUGGAGUGCGGCAGAGGGGGAUGGAAUUCCGCGUGUAGCAGUGAAAUGCGUAGAUAUGCGGAGGAACACCGAUGGCGAAGGCAAUCCCCUGGGCCUGCACUGACGCUCAUGCACGAAAGCGUGGGGAGCAAACAGG
rnacentral:rRNA from 1 species